GGACGCGUGCCUGAGAACUCAAGGAUUACUUUGAUAGAGUAAACUACAGGGGUUACCCCCCCUCGCUUCCU
rnacentral:tRNA from 1 species